CUAAAAUGGGUUUUAUGAUUUAUCUGCAUCGAGUAGUUUUACUUUGAAUUCUUUAAGUAUAUUUUCCUGAUGGUACUUACAUACUUUUAAUUAACGUAUUCAACGCGGGACUUUUACUUGAAACAGAGUAUUUUACAGUGUAGUAUUAUUACUUUUACUUAAAAGUAUUUCCACCAGUGUCCAGCUCAG